rnacentral:lncRNA from 1 species
AAUUGGAAGCAAGAUCAAGCUAAUUUGAAGCUCCUCGAAGGUGAGAUUUCAGAAACUUUUCUUCUUCGAUUCUCCCUCAUUUCUCAUCCAUUUUGAUUGAUUGUUGGUUUUAGAUCAAGCUAAUUUGAAGCUCCUCGAAGGUGAGAUUUCAGAAACUUUUCUUCUUCGAUUCUCCCUCAUUUCUCAUCCAUUUUGAUUGAUUGUUGGUUUGCUGAAGUCCUACCAAUGUAGGCAACAAAAUUGAGUUGCUUUGAGGUCAAAUCGAAGCAACUCAGUUCAUGAUCCUCAAAAUUCAAAUCCCUGUAUCUUUUCAUAUACUUGAAAUUGGACAAAAUUGAGGCCAG